ensembl:lncRNA
AUGAUUUUUACAUACAUAAGCGAAGCACAGAAGGGCAUUGGUAAGGAUACCAGAGGAGCCAGACACCAACUCCUGGUUGACAGAACAGUCGCCCAAGACUGCAGAGUGCGACACACCAACCUGUGCACAGCCUGGAUCAACUACAAGAAAGCCUAUGACUCAAUGCCACGCACAUGGAUCACUGAAUGCUUGGAGCUGUACAACAUCAACAGAACUCUAAGGGCCUUCAUUGCAAACUCGAUGAGGUUGUGGAGAACCACCCUUGAAGCCAAUGGGAAGCCACUUGCCCAAGUAUCUAUCAAAUGUGGCAUAUACCAAGGAGAUGCACUGUCCCCACUGCUGUUCUGCAUAGGUCUGAACCCCCUCAGCCAAAUAGUAAACAAGACUGGCUAUGGAUACCGACUCCGGAACGGGGCCACCAUAAGUCACCUCCUCUACAUGGAUGACAUCAAGCUGAACGCCAAGACUGAGCGAGACAUCGACUCGCUGAUCCACACCACCAGGAUCUACAGCUCGGACAUCGGGAUGUCAUUCGGGCUCGAGAAAUGUGGGAGGAUGGUGACAAAGAGAGGCAAGGUAAUCCACACAGAAGGGGUCUCACUCCCAGAAGGAGCAAUAGCAGACAUUGAGGACAAUUACAAGUACCUUGAAAUACCACAGGCAAACGGCAACCUUGAACAGGCAACAAGGAAUGCGGCAACAGCCAAAUACCUCCAACGAGUAAGGCAAGUCCUAAGAAGCCAGCUCAAUGGCAAGAACAAAUCCCGGGCAAUAAACAGCUACGCCCUGCCAGUGAUCAGAUACCCUGCGGGAAUAAUAAGGUGGCCAAAGGAAGAGAUACAGACCACAGAUGUUAAGACACGAAAGCUCCUCACCAUGCAUGGAGGGUUCCACCCCAAAUCCAGCACCCUAAGACUGUACGCUAGCCGCAAGGAAGGAGGCCGAGGACUAGUGAGUGUGAGAGCCACUAUAUGUGUGUGUGUGUGUGUGUGUGUGUGUGUGUGUGUGUGUGUGUGUGUGUGUGUGUGUGUGUGUGUGUGUGUGUGUGUGUGUGUGUGUGUGUGUGUGUGUGUGUGUGCGGCGCAUGGGGUCGUGUGGGUGGUGGUGAAAUAA